rnacentral:rRNA from 1 species
UUCGAUGAUACGCGAGGAACCUUACCUGGGCUUAAAUGGGGAGUGACACGCGUGGCGGAAAGUUGGUUUUCUUCGGACACUCUUCAAGGUGCUGCAUGGUUGUCGUCAGCUCGUGCCGUGAGGUGUCGGGUUAAAGUCCCCAUAACCGAGCGCAACCCUUACUGUUAGUUGCCAGCGGGUCAAGCCGGGAACUCUAACGGGACUGCACCGUAAGGUGAGAGGAAGGUGGGGAUGACGUCAAAUCAGCACGGCCCUUAUGUCCAGGGCUACACACGUGUUACAAUGGUCGGUACAAAGGGCAGCUACACCGCGAGGUGAUGCUAAUCUCUAAAGCCGGUCUCAGUUCGGAUCGAAGUCUGCAACCCGACUUCGUGAAGUUGGAUUCGCUAGUAAUCGCGCAUCAGCCAUGGCGCGGUGAAUACGUUCCCGGGCCUU